rnacentral:rRNA from 1 species
ACCUAAUAGAUACCCAGGUAGUCCACGCCCUAAACGAUGCGAACUGGAUGUUGGGUACAUUACGGUACUCAGUGUCGAAAGCUAAACGCGUUAGGUUCGCCGCCUGGGGAGUACGGUCGCAAGACUGAAACUCAAAGGAAUUGACGGGGGCCCGGCCACAAGCGGUGGAGUAUGUGGUUUAAGUUUACGAUGCAACGACGAAGAACCUUACCCUGGCCGUUCGUACAUCUGUCGAAUCCUGCAGAGAUGCAGGAGUGCCGCAAGGAACGACAAGACAGGUGCUGCAUGGCUGUCGUCAGCUCGUGUCGUGAGAUGUUGGGUUUAAGUCCCGCAACGAGCGCAACCCUUCGUCCCUACGUCGCCAGCACAUCAUGGUGGGAACUCUA